rfam:Salmo salar isolate Sally breed double haploid chromosome ssa25, whole genome shotgun sequence.
AAUGCACCAAUUUUUAAGUCGCUCUGGAUAAGAGCAUCUGCUAAAUGACGUAAA